GCCGGCGUUGAAUCCAAUUGAACCGGAGCCUCCACCCCUGGUAGUGCUCCCCCGCCAAUUCCCUUAAGUUUCAGUCUUGCGACCGUACUCCCCAGGCGACCCGUUUAACGCCUUCGCUCCGGCACUGCAAAUCCCCGAAGGAUUUGCAACACCAAACGGGUAUCGUUUACAGCGUGGACUACUGGGGUAUCUAAUCCCAAUCGCUCCCCACGCUUUCAUCCCUCACCGUCGGAUCCGUCCUAGUAUGGCGCCUUCGCCACAGGUGGUCCGUUGGGGAUUAAAGGAUUUUACCCCUACCCCCAACGUACCCCAUACCUCUACCGGUCCCAAGCCUUGUAGUUUCCCUGGCACGCCCAACAGUCAACUGUUGGAUUUCACCAAGGACCCGCAAGGCCGGCUACGGAUGCUUUAGGCCCAAUAAUCGCGAGAACCACUUGGGGCGCGGUUAUUACCGCGGCGGCUGGCAACCGUCUUGCCCACCCCUUAUUCGCCAAGCUGUCUACACUUAGCAAAAGCUGCAGUAAAACUGCAGCACUCAGGUUCCCCGCCCUCACCAUUGCUGGCAUUGGGAAGUUUUCGCGCCUGCUGCGCCCCGUAAGGCCUGCAUUCAUGUCUCAGAAUGCAUCUCCGGGCUAUCACUCUCAUGACCCGUACGGAUUAUCGAUUUGUCGGGCAUUUACCCCGACAACAGUCUAAUCCGCCGCAGCCCCAUCCUUGGGCCCCUGAGGUUUUGGCAAAGGUGCGUUCCAGCAUCCUUCACCUAUGGGGUAUUCCUCCCAGUUUCCCGGGGUUAUCCCCCACCCAAGGGCAGGUUAGCUACGUGUUACUGAGCAGUACGCCGAGGUCUUGCACCUCUCGACACGCAUGGCUUAGUCGGAACCUGAUAGCAGUUCUCUCCGGCGGGAUCAACCGGAA
rnacentral:rRNA from 1 species